UAUGGUCAUAUCAUAUUGAAACACCAGUUCCCAUCUGAUCACUGGAGUUAAGCAAUGUCAAGCAUGAUCAGUAUGUAGAAGGGUGACUGCUUGGGAAUACCAGGUACUGUA